rnacentral:rRNA from 1 species
CCUGACUGCUAUCGGAUUGAUACUAAGCCAUGCGAGUUUUUGUAGUAAUACAAGGCAGACGGCUCAGUAACACGUAGUCAAUCUAACCUAUGGACGAGGAUAACCUCGGGAAACUGAGAAUAAUACUCGAUAGAUCAUUAUGCCUGGAACGGUUUAUGGUUCAAAUGAAUUUCGCCAUAGGAUGGGACUGCGGUCUAUCAGCUUGUUGGUGAGGUAAUGGCCCACCAAGGCUAUUACAGAUACGGGCUCUGAGAGGAGAAGCCCGGAGAUGGGUACUGAGACACGGACCCAGGCCCUAUGGGGCGCAGCAGGCGAGAAAACUUUGCAAUGUGCGAAAGCACGACAAGGUUAAUCCGAGUGAUUCCUGCUAAAGGAAUCUUUUGUUAGUCGUAACACCACUGAUGAAUAAGGGGUGGGCAAGUUCUGGUGUCAGCCGCCGCGGUAAAACCAGCACCUCAAGUGGUCAGGAUGUUUAUUGGGCCUAAAGCAUCCGUAGCCGGCUUUGUAAGUUUUCGGUUAAAUCUAUAUGCUUAACAUAUAGGCUGCCGGGAAUACUGCAAAGCUAGGGAGUGGGAGAGGUAGACGGUACUCCGUAGGAAGGGGUAAAAUCCUUUGAUCUAUGGAUGACCACCUGUGGCGAAGGCGGUCUACCAGAACACGUCUGACGGUGAGGGAUGAAAGCUGGGGGAGCAAACCGGAUUAGAUACCCGGGUAGUCCCAGCUGUAAACUAUGCAAACUCAGUGAUGCAUUGGCUUGUGGCCAGUGCAGUGCCGCAGGGAAGCCGUUAAGUUUGCCGCCUGGGAAGUACGUACGCAAGUAUGAAACUUAAAGGAAUUGGCGGGGGAGCACCACAAGGGGUGAAGCCUGCGGUUC